rnacentral:rRNA from 1 species
AACGAACGCUGGCGGCAUGCCUAACACAUGCAAGUCGAACGAGACCUUCGGGUCUAGUGGCGCACGGGUGCGUAACGCGUGGGAACCUGCCCUUAGGUUCGGAAUAACUCCCCGAAAGGGGUGCUAAUACCGGAUAAUGUCUUCGGACCAAAGAUUUAUCGCCUUUGGAUGGGCCCGCGUUGGAUUAGCUAGUUGGUAGGGUAAAAGCCUACCAAGGCGACGAUCCAUAGCUGGUCUGAGAGGAUGAUCAGCCACACUGGGACUGAGACACGGCCCAGACUCCUACGGGAGGCAGCAGUGGGGAAUAUUGGACAGUGGGCGAAAGCCUGAUCCAGCAAUGCCGCGUGAGUGAUGAAGGCCUUAGGGUUGUAAAGCUCUUUUACCCGGGAUGAUAAUGACAGUACCGGGAGAAUAAGCCCCGGCUAACUCCGUG